GCUAGAGGUCUUAGUCCCAGAGGGAGGAAUGCUGCCACCAAGAGACACAACAACGAUUCCAUUAAACUGGAAGUUAAGAUUGCCACCUGGACACUUCGUGCUCCUCCUACCUUCAAGUCAACAGGCUAAGAAAGGAGUUACAGUGUUGGCUGUGGUGAUUGACUUGGACUAUCAAGAUGAAAUCAGUCUACUACUGCACAACAGAGACAAAACCACAGUCAACAUGAAUUCCAAGUGGUAACACUUAGUGUCCUGGGAUGGAGUGCUGAGAGAAAUCCGGAGGAUUCAGAGAAGAUGACCAAAAAGGACUACUUCACAGGGCUCCCAUGUGCUCAGCUUGCAAUUGGAUUCAGCCACCAGAGAUCCCUGGCAAGAGAAUAAAGAGAGAAAACAAAGUGGUGAGUGAACACUAACUCUGCAAGUGGACCACCUAAGAAAGCACAUUGAGACCCAUCAAGGGAGUGAGGCAACAUGAAGAAAAGAGAAGAGCAAAACCGGGCAGCCACUCACCCAGGACUUUUACGGAACCAGGAGAAGCUCUCUAACAUGGAGAAAGAGUGUGAAAGUGAGAGCCCUCAGAAAAUUCAUACCUCUCACAGGAACCUGUGCAAUCCUGGGAAGAGGAGAACACCUCGCCCCAGCCACCCCCG
rnacentral:lncRNA from 10 species